CAAGUGGCCCCCACGUGGGGCGGGGGAAGUUUUGCAAGGGGUGGAUUUGCUUAAAAAAAAAAACACACACUAGAGAGAGAGUUUCGAUUGAAAUUUCCCAGCAGUUUUUGUUCCUGUGCUGGGCAAUGGCAUGGGAUUUCCACAGAGCUCUGGGCGUGCAGCUGAGCUUGGCAAGCUGCUUUGUCCAGGGAAAAACAAACCUGGGCGAGAUCCCUUGCUGGAGAAUUCGGAGGGGCUAUUUUUAGAGGAAAGAAGUAUCCCAAGGGUUUGAAUUAAAAUGCAUGCCCUGGAAAUCCCCCAUCCCCACCCCCGCUUUCCCAGGGUGCCCCGGGCCAUCCUUCCCCGAGCUUGGUCUGCAGCUGUUCGGAGACAAAAAUCACAUCCAGGCGAGGAUGCAUUUUGCAACGGAAAAGUAGAGACGUUAUGCAAAGGGAGAAUCCUUAUUGUCUUCCACUCCGGAGCAAAUUCCGAGGUGCUGGAGUGGGGGGGUGGGGUCUAUAUUCCUAGGACUGAACUCUGGAGGUGCAAAAAGCAAACGUGUCUAGUGAAUUCCCUGCUCUGCAAGGGCACUUUGCCUCCCCUCUCCCCCAUUUGAGCAGGGCGAUACCCGUUCCACCUCGUAGGCAGAAAACGACGAGCACCCAGCUGUGUGUUGUGUAGGCGGAGGAGGGGAAAGGAUGAGUUAAUCAUGAGGUUUUCGAGCCAGUCAUGGUUUCUGCAGCUUGCAAAAACGUUGUGACUCGUUUCACAACAACCCCUGCAGCGUGCAUCAUGUUUCUUUGGCUGGGACCUUUCUAGGUUGUCCUCUGUUUUCCUCUUCUGCAAGGCGGCUCAGAACCCAGGUGCGGGGCCGUACAGACUUUAUCAGCGCCGCUUCUGAUGCACACGCCUGCUGGCUGCAGACAAGGCUCGCGCUCAACGCGGGCGCUGCUUGGGUGGCAAGAUUUAUUUCAGGCAGAGAAUGAACCAACCUUCAAAUCCCUCUCAAACCCGGAAACUCAAACAAGACACCGUGUACUUUCCCGAGCAGCGGAGCUGCCAGGGAACUUGCAGGGAACGCUGCUGGCCUUCGGCUUGAAUGCAUUUCCCAAAGCGAGCUCUGGGGGGGUUGCGAGGUUCGCGUAACAUUCCGCUCUGCAAAGCAGGUGGGAGGGCAAGCCUGGAGCCUGAACUUUUGCAGAGGAUCGUGGCACUUCGAAGUGACUUUCCUGAGCCAGGCUGCUGUUGUGCUAGGUGCUGGACAGACACAGAGUGCUGCUGUCUCCAAACGUCCCAAAAUCUGGAGUUGCCUCCCACCGCCUCCAAAUCACGAGAUUGACUUAAAAAAUCACAAGAUCCUUUUCAUUUGGCUCCUGGGCUGGGAGCCUGGAGGGGCCACGUGUUUGAGCUUUUCUCUGCCACCAGGUGGGCUGCAAAGCAUGUCACGCUAUGUCCCCGUCUCCGAGCACACAGGAUGCUGCACGGUACACCCUGCCAUUCAUAAAGCUGUCCCACGGCUGGGCCCAGAAGAAGUCAUGGACUGGAAAAACACUGGCACUUUGAAAAAGAACAGAGCUGAGGGGUUUUCCAGGUUCUCAGACUUAUUUGCUUCAAUUUUGACUUUGGUUUCCGAGGGAAAGGGAAUUUCUGAUUCAUAAGCUGCUGUCCUGGGUCAGACCCAUGCUCCAUCUGGCCCAGUCUCCUGUUUCCUAGAGCGGCCGGUACCAGAGCUUCCCGGGGAAUGCCCAGAACAGGGCAAUUCUGGAGCGAUCCUCCCCUGAGUUCCCCUCCUGAUUUCAGGCAGUCAGAGGUUUCGGGUCACCCCCGUUGGCUAGUGGCCAUCGGUGGAGCUCGUUUGAACCCUGUUUAUACUUUAACCAUCACAGUAUCCCACUGACAGUUUGUUCCAUGCAAACGGGAAAGGACAUCUCCGUUGUGGUGAGGGCAGGGAUCAAUUGUUCUCUCUGACCACCGAGAACAGGACAAGAAGUAAUUGGUUUAUUUUGCAGCAAGGGAGAUUUAGGUUAGAUAUUAGGAAAAUCUUUCUAGCUAGAAGGCUAGUUAAGCGUUAGGGAGGUUGUGGAAUCACCUUCAUUGGAGGAUUUUAAGCCCAGGUUGGACAAACACCGUCAGGGACAGUUUAGGUUUCCUUGGUCCUGCUUCAGCGCAGGUGGCUGGAUUUGAUGACAUCUUGAGGUCCCUUCCGGCCCUGGAUGUCUGUGAUUCUGUUCUGUAACAUGGAUACAAAUCAUUUCCCAGCUGGUUGCAAGGGCAGUUGGGGAAAUGGACCAAUCAGUGCAAACCACCAGCGUAGCAAUGUUGACACCCCCAGAGUGCUGGCGAAUUCCUCCCACUGUGGAGCCUGCCCAGGAUUUUUAAAAGCCGCAGCUGGUCUCUUGUGUUUUGCCAGAGCUGAUUGGGACCCGCAUAUCCAAGCGUCUCACCCAGAAGUCCAGCAGAACUGACGUCUCCCUCCCCUGGCUGUCGAUUGUGGAAUGGGCCAGUGCCCCUGGUGGCAUUUACAGCACAUGUCAAAGUUUCAGUAUUAGAGCUGGGUGGAGAGGCCCCGAUGGGGUCAGGGUCCCGGUGUGCCCAGCCCUACACAGAUCCAUGGUAAGAGACAGUUCCUGCCCUGAGGAGUUUGUGAUCUAUCUAAAUAGCCAAGACAGACGAAGCAUGGGAAGAAAGGAUGGAUUAUUAUCCUCAGUUCCAAGCAGGGAAGCUGAGACAAAGAGACUUGGCCAAAGUCACAUGGGCAGAACCAGGAAGAGAACCCAGCUAUCCUGGGUCCCAGCCUGGAGCCACAGCCAGAGCCGCCCUCUCUUGAUUCAGUUCAGCUUUGCUAAUAUUUGCACAAAGAACGAUCUGCCUGCAGCAGGGUGCUGGCCCGGUUCUAGUUCCCGAAAGUGUCCUUGUUUCUUCCAGAAAAGAAGGACUGGUUCCACACCUCGUCCAGACCCUGCUGAGCCGAACAACCAUUGUUCAGAGAGGAACUGAAAAUAUCAUUCACGGCUCACGUGGCAGCUUGGUAAAGGCCUGGAGGCUGAUCUCAGUUACCCCAGUGCAAAGCCGGAGUCACCCCCUGACCCCUCUGGAAGGAGUCAUUAGUGCAAUUGCAUUGUUAUGAAAUAUCCAUUAUCAGAAUCAUGAGCCAUUGUUUCCUGGUCUGUGGUUACUUCAGGCAGUCAGAAGUUUAUAAGCAGAAAUUGCUCAAGACCUCAACAUAAAAAUCUCACUUUGUGCCUGUGCUGCUCCUGGGUACAUUUGUAUCAACCCCUCACGGCAGCACCAAGCACUAAGUAUUCCAAUCUCAACUAAAAUUCCCACUGCAUUCAGUUCAAAUAAGCCUUCAAAAUGUACAUGGAUUCUCACCUUUACUCCAUGGCCGACAUCAUCCGGCACGGUAUAGUCAGUAGGUUUUCAAAUAUACCUUACAGGACACUCCAUGUUCGCCGGCACUAUAAUUUUAUGAGUUCUUGAUGUGUUCUUAUUGGUUCUCAAAUUACCUCUGUUUGUGAGCCACUUUCUCUUUAUGGAUGUCCACAGCCUUAACUUUUGCUGACUGUGGCCAGCCUCAGGGGGAGGGAUAGUUCAGUGGUUUGAGC